rnacentral:lncRNA from 1 species
UCAAAUUCAACACAAUUCCAUUAAAAACACAGUGAUUACAUUCAUGAAACAACCUUACUAAAACUAACAAGGAUCUACUUCAACAAUUCGACUUAACUAUAAGGUACAUAUAUUAAUCAUAAGAGAAACUAAAAUCCAUAAAAAUUUGAAUUUUCCAACAUAUGCCUCUGAUUUCAAUUUCGACUACAACUUCAUGCUCUUCUUCUUUGAACCUUCAUACAACUCCCUCAACAGUUCAACAACCUUCAAAUCCUUUAACUUGUUGACAUCUACCAUUUCAACACCAUUAACAUCUUCUUCUUCAAUCAAAUAUUUAUCCCAUAUGAAUAGAUC